ensembl:lncRNA
GAGGGGAGGGGAGGAGAGGUGAGGGAGUGGAGGGCGCAGCUGUCUGCCCUGCUCUGCUGCCUGCCUGCUGCUUGCUGGCUUCUUCAGCUUAAUGAGCUGACAAGAAUGAAUUUUGCCUAAGGAGAAACUGAAAAGGGCUGCAGUGUCCAAGGGGCUUGGGCAUAAAAAUAUUAGAGAUCUAGAUUUUACCAGACCCGUGAACAGAAUUCCUUUUUUGAGGAAGAUCAGCCAUGAGCUAACCUCUGCUGCCAAUCCUCCUGUUUUCGCUGAGGAGAUUAGCCCUGAGCUAACAUCGUGCCCACCUUCCUCUACUUUAUAUGUGGGACGCCUGCCCCAGCAUGGCUUGAUGAGCGGUGCCAUGUCCACACCCGGGAUCUGAACCAGCCAAUUCUGAGCCGCCAAAGCGGAACGCGCGAACGUAACCAUUGCGACACGAGGCCGGCCCAAACAGACUUUUAUAAAGCAGUCAAGGUAUAAAAUAGCUGUUCCCAGUAGCUUCAAGUUUUAUCUUUCUUCAGAAGUUGACUCAAUUCAGUUUCCCUUAUUCCUGGAAGCCUCAUCAAAAUUCUCAAGACCUGGCAUUGAUCAGCAUCGUCUUCACUGAGUCUGAACACACUAUGAAGAGCUGACCUGGAGGCCGAUGCCUGAGAGGCCGCAGGGGAAGCCACGUCUGUGGGAGGGAACAGCGAGAUGUGCACACUGCGAUGACCCUUUCCUACCUGGGAUACAUGGUGUGAUGCCAUGUCUUUCUUAACAGCCAGCUUUCCCCAAAGCAGCCCCCCAGCGGGUCCAUCUCAUUUGCUUUCAUGCUCUCACAAUCCUUGGUGUCCCCACCUUCUCCCAAGUGGUGCCCCCUUCAGCCCCCUCCAGGCUGGGGCAUCCUGGAUCUGCUGAUCUUGCUCUGGGAGAGUCCCUCCUGUGACCUGGUGCUCCCCUCUUGAGACCUUCUGCACCUGUAAAACAAGGACAGAAUAGUCAUUUCCAGGGCCCUUCUUUGCCCUGAAGCUCUGAAAUCCUGCUUCAGUCACUGUUCAUAGCUCUGGGACUCAGUGGGCUCCUGGAUGCCAUCUUGGCCUGUGGCCAUCCUGGUGGAUCCUCACUGGCCCCACCGCCCCCUCAGCCCAGAGAGAAGUUCUGUGUCUCCUGCCUUGCAGUGCCCCGGCCUCUAGAGCGAGUUAAUUCAGGGUCUUUCUCGCAUGCAGGGCCGUUCCUCUGUACUGUCCAGCUGAGGGACUCCAGUCUCAGGCCAGUCUGUGUACUGUGAAAAAAAGUCAGUUGUGAAAAUCUGUUCCCUCUUCCCAUGGAUUGGGCAGGGGACAGUAAGUAGGAGUGGCUAAAUUCCUCAGCAUAAGCCCUACCCAGGAAUCCGGCUGGGAGGGGAGGAGGGAGGAGGAGAGGGGGCAGAGGGAGAAGCUCUGCAUGGUGGAAGUGGCCCAGGCACUGCUUUUAAAGAUGAGACCUCUGGGGGCCGGCCCGGUGGUGCAGCGGUUAAGUUUGCAGGUUCUGCUUCUCAGCGGGCUGGGGUUCACCGGUUUGGAUCCUGGGUGCGGACCUGGCACUGCUUGGCAAGCCAUGCUGUGGUAGGCAUCCCACAUAUAAAGUAGAGGAAGACAGGCACAGAUGUUAGCUCAGGGCCAGUCUUCCUCAGCAAAAAGACGAGGAUUGGCAGUAGUUAGCUCUGGGCUAAUCUUCCUUAAAAAAAAAAAAAAAAAAAAGAUGAGACCUCUGAUGCUCAGCUUAGAAAACGUCUUGUGUGAAUGGGUUUGUUUGCUUUUGUUUUGGGGAGUUUUUUUGCUGAGAAUCCAGGCAGGGCUGAGGCCAGCCUUGGUUGAUAUGGUGCAGGCCAGGGCCAGCAAGCCGAGCUGAGAUGUAAAGUGGUGAGAAUGCGCGCUGGAGCCGGACAGCCACGCAGAUUAGACGUGAUAAUAAUGAUCACAUCAGGAGGAGGAGUUUGUAUUUGCGCUUCGCUUGGAAUAGUGCCGAGUGGGGUGAGUGUGAUGUGUGUGUUUGUUGAAUGCAUUAGGGUGUAUUGUUUAAAAACUCAAUUAGAGUUUUUUAAAAAAUAAGCAUUAUUUUGAAAAAAUUUUAGAUUUAUAGGAAAGUUGCAAUGGGAACACAGAGUUUACCUGUACCCCACCCCCAGAGCCCCUGUUGUUAACAUCUGACGCUACCCUGGUACAGUUGUCACGCUGAGGAACCAGCCCUGGUGCAUUACUAUUAACAAAGCCCCAGGCUCUAUUUGGGUUUCAGUCAUUUUCCCACUAAUGCCCUCCUUCUGUUCCUGGCUCCACUCAGGUAUCACACUGCUUUCAGUUGUCGUGUUUUCUUAGUCUCCUCUGGUCUGUGACAGUUUCUCAGUCUUUUGUUGUUUUUCACAACCUUCGCAGUUUUGAGGAGUACUGGUCAGGUAUUUUGUAGCAGUUCCUUCAAUUGGGAUUUUUCUGAUGUUUUUCUCCUGAUUACACUGGGGUGAUUGGGUUUUGGAAAGAAUACUAAAGAAGCUCUUCCCAUCACAUCAUACGGGGGGACACAGGAGAUCUGCAUGACACUCCUGGUGACAUUAACCGUCAUCAUGUGGCUAAGGGGAUGUCUGCCAGAUUUCUCCACUCUAAGUCACUAUUUUCCGCUCUGCCUACAAUGUUCUUUGGAGCCCAGGUUUGGAGCUUGGAGGAGCGGGGAUUGGGCUCCAGGCCCUGGCGCGGGGCGUGUCUCCAUGUGCCGCUUGGAAUCUCUUGCAAGGAUGAACUGCCCCUUCUCACUCAUUUAUUUACUUAUUCAAUCGUAAUUCGCUUCAGUGUGGAUUUAUAGACAUGUAUUUUAUACUUUGGGUUAUAAUCCAAUGCUGCAUUUAUUUAUUUAUUUAUUAUUGUUUUUUGAGGAAGAUUAGCCCUGAGCUAACUACUGCCAGUCCUCCUCUUUUUGCUGAGGAAGACUGGCCCUGAGCUAACAUCGUGCCCAUCUUCCUCUACUUUAUACGUGGGAUGCCUACCACAGCAUGGCUUGCCAAGCAGUGCCAUGUCCGCACCCAGGAUCCGAACCGGUGAACCCCGGGCCACCGAGAAGCGGAAUGUGCACACUUAACCGCUGCACCACCGGGCCUGCCCCAAUGCUAUGUUUUUUAUUUUGUUGCUUGAAUCGUUCUGGCUUUAGCCAUUAGAAGCUCUUUUGGGUUGUGUGAGAUAAUAGAAAAUAUAUAUAUUGGUGUCUGCCUCCAGUUCCUGGCACAAGGCUCCUAAAACCCUGGUCAUUUGCUGUCUGAUAAGUGCACUAGGAGCAUCUCUUGUUCUAAUACUGUUCUUUGACCUCUGUUCUUGAUGCAGAGCUCCUGAAACCCUUCUAAUUUCCUGGGCGACAGGAGAAGACCUCUUUUGUUCUAAUGAGGUGGCUCUGGGGGGCGCUCCUGGAUGACAGCUGGUCACCGGAAAGACCAGGCUUAGAAUUUUCUGCCCCGCACCCUAUUCUCCUGAGAAGGGAGAAAGGCUGAAAAUGGAGUUAAUGAUCAGUCAUGUCUAUAUGAUGAAACCUCCAUAAAAAUCCCAAAAGUAUGGAGUUCAGAGAGCUUCCAGAUUGGCGAAUACAUUCAUAUACUGAGAGGAUGACACACCCCCAACUCCGUGGGGACAGAAGCUCCUGUGCUCAGUACCCUCCCAGACCUCCCCCUGUAUAUCUCUUUAUCUGGCUGUUCAUCUGUAGCCUUUAUCAUAUCCUUUAAUAAACCGGUAAAUAUAAGUGUUACUCUGAGUUCUGUGAGCUGCUCUAGCAAAUUACUUGAACCCGAGGAGAGGGUAUUUGGAUCCUUCCAUCUAUAGCUGGUCGGUCAGAAGCGCAGGUGAUACCCUGGGCUUGUGAUUGGCAUCUGAAGUUGGGGGGAUCGUGUGGGGAGCAGUCUUUUUUUUUCUCCCCAAAUCCCCCCAGUAUAUAGUUGUAUAUUUUAGUUGUGGGUCCUUCUAGUUGUGGCAUGUGGGACACCGCCUCACCAUGUCCUGAUGAGUGAUGCCAUAUCCGCGCCUAGGAUCUGAAUCGGCGAAACCCUGGGCCGCCGCAGCAGAGCGCGUGAACUUAACCACUCAGCCGUAUGGCUGGCCCCCGGGGAGCAGUCUUGUGGGACUGAGUCCUGAAUCUGUGGAACCUGAUGCUAUCUCCAGGUAGAUAGUGUUCAAAUUGAGUUAAAUGUAGGACACCCUGCUGGUGUCACAGAGAAUUGCUUGUUGUGGGGAAACACCUCCACACCUUUGGUGACCAGAAAUGUCAGAAGAGAAGUGUUCUGUGUGAAUAGUACAGGAGAGAAACAUGGUAGGGAAGAAUUGGGUUUUUCCCAACACAGGAGGUAGGCAGAACUGAGUUUUUCCUGAGCAGGUUGGUUCCUGUGUUCCUUUGACAUGCCCUAAUACUUUCGUUUAUCAAGCACUUCCUUCUUUGUUGUGUGUAUGCUCCAGGCUGGUGUUGUAUUUUCCCUGCUCUAGAGUCAACCAUUUCUCCAAGGAGCCCUGGUCCCUUUUAUCAGAGAAUGAUAUUUAGAAACCAAGAUCUAGACACUGGGUGUGCUCUUUGCUACCGGGGUGUUGUUGCUUCUCGGCUCCUUGCAGCAGAGCUAGGAAAUAAUCGUGUGUAUAUUAACUGGUGUAUAUACAUAUCUAUAACUGUUUCUGUAUCUAUACAUCAGCAUAUAUAUUGGGUUAAACAUGAGUUCAUACUGAGAUCUCUGACUCUAUUCCAAUACAACAGAGUUUUGUUGGAUACAUUUUUAAUUGACCCAUAAAUCAAACUAAUCUGGUAGUUGACUAGCACAGAGAAAAAUAUGAACAUGAAAACAUAAGAAUCUUCAUUCCCGAGGUGAGGGGGGAGGAUAUUGGAUUUCCCACAAGGAGGAAUGAAGGCCCAAGCUCAUCUUCUCUCAACCCUAAGAGACCACGUGACCCUAGCUGACAUCUAGGUUACAGAGAAGACAUUUGAUUACUCUGCGUUUCCACUUUUCACCCAGUUGUCUGCCAUCAUAUAGCUACCAAUAGAGACAGACUCAAAUGGCACCUCCUCACAUAAAGGAAAAAAAAAUGCUCCCUCAUUCCAGGGCCAGCUCGGUUAAGGUGGGAAGGCAGUGCUGUCUGGGCAGUUGGCCUUGGUCUUCUGGGGCAUCUUUCUCUCAUCUCUAGGCACUGCCCUUUCCUCCUUACUAUGCUUGUGUGGCCUUUAGAUGCUAACCCCUGACUCAGCGCCUCCGGCAGAGUUUCCUUGCUCUGAAUUUCUGGGUGCCCAGGCUGGGUUGUUAGAGCCUUUGGGGCCCCCUCUCCUGAGCAGGGAAGUGCCUACAAGGUAGGAAACCUGGUCUUUGCUCCUGCGGGGAAAAGGCCAGUCCAGCCCCUGACAGCACAAUCCUGCCUCAGCAAUGGAGCUCCCCCGGCCCUCACUCUGAAGUGGCCGGUGCUUUACCACGGCGGGUGAGCUCUGCCUUCACCCUUGGGGCAGAUGGCAGUGGCUAGCCGGCAGCCACCACGGCCUGUCUGAGGGGACUCUGUGGAGGGUGGUGGGAGCACGCCUGCAGCAGGAGCUCAGCUCCCUUCACCUGCUCCUCAUCCUCUGCAGGGGCACAAAAGGGCUGCACUGCCUGAGCUUUAGCUCUCCCUCUUUAAGUCAGGGCAGAGGACACAUCUGAGGGACAUGUGGAGCUUGUAGAUCCUGGAAGUAUUUGAUUAAAGGGAAAGGAAUCUUGGCUUGAAGCACCAAGAGUCUUAAGAGACAAGACAGUUAUGAAACAGAGAAAGAUGCUGAGACUUUGCCUUCUGCUUUAGAUCUUUUACAGGUGGGCCCGGGAGGAGGGCACGCCAGGUGUAGUGCUCAGUGUGUGCUGAUCCCACAGGGAACUUGAUGCUCUCUGGGGAGAGAAGUAGGAUUGAAAUCUAAGGCACAUAAGGCAAGAAACAGGCACUUAUUGGGCACUCACUGUGCACCUAGCACUCUGCUGGACACUAGGGGAGAAAGCAAGGGAAGAGGAGGCAUCUCUCCUGUGCUGAAGAGCCCACCAUCUCCUAGAGAAAGUAAGAUGCACAGGAAACCACACCGGGAGUAUAGGUCCUGGCCUGUGACACCUCUGUGGGCCCGCCAGUCAUGACUGGGGCUUCCCUGAGGCAGUAGGAGCGGGCAGGGCAUGGUGUUUGGGAGCAGACCCCAAGUCUGACAGACAUGAAUCCUUCCCAGAUGUGUGAUGUUAGGAGUUCACUUCCCUCCUCCAAACCUCCACUUCCCUGUCCAUAAACUGAGAAGAAUACUGGCAAGAAUAUUGUGAGGAUCCACGUGAUGAUGUCUGCACAGCCUCAGCUGGAUGUGAGGUGUACAGCAACCAUUUAGUUACUGGUAGUAGCUAUUGCAGUUAUUUAAAAGGGAGGGCCAAGUCCAAGGCCAACUGCCCUGGCUGCUCUGCUCUUGCAUGCUCUUAGGGCAUCUUCCAGAGUGAGUGGUCAUGCUCAGAGGGGUGGGAGAUGCCGCAAGGCACUGCCCUGCCCGGCUCCAACAGGCAUCCUCUCGAUAAGAACACGUGCACGAACCUGCGCCCUUCUGCUCUUGCCUCAAAUUGGAAGAGGCCAGGCAAACUAGGCUCCUUAUCUGUCCGCUUGGAAGCAGAAAGGGCUACAAUGGCUCAGUGGAGAGAAUAGCAGCCUCCAAAUUAGUCCACGCUCUAAUCCCCAGAACCUCUGACCCUCCGAUCUUAUGCAGCAGAGGAGAUUUGGCAGAUGUGACCAAGGUAAGCACCUUGAGAUGCGGAAGUUAUCAUGGAUCAGUGGGGUGGACCCAAUGGAAUCACAAGAGUCCUUAUAAGACAGAGACAGGGGGUCAGAGUCAGAGAAGGAGAUGUGACAUUGGGGGCAGAGGUGGGAGUGACACAAUUGAGAAGGGAACCAUAAGCCAAGGAAUGCAGGCAGCCUCUAGGGAAAUGGACUCUCCCACAGAGCCUCCGGAAGGAAUGCAGCCUGCCAAUACCUUGAUUUGAGAUCCAUUUCAGACUUCUGACAUUGAGAAAUGUAAGAAG